UUUGCCAGAUGAUGGCAUCAGUUGCCUGAUGAAUGGGAAGGACCUCUGGCCCCGGCUGCAUUUCAACUAAGUGGAGGGAAGAGAAAAGAACAUACGCUGCAGGCGACAACAAGCAUCGAACAAUUCAUCACAAAACCAAUCUCCUCAGAACAGAUCUGCUGAUAGCUUCCUUUUUGGAGACGGACUGCUCCUCAAGAAAAAAGACCUCAUACCACCGUUUAAAGACAUUUCUGACCUACCAGUCUGCUAGACAUUGCUACUGACAGGCCAAAACGAUCAUCAAGGACAACCACCACCCGAGCCACUGCCUGUUCACCCCGCUAUC